ensembl:lncRNA
GGAACAAACACCUCAGGAUAUUGAGAGAAGACUGUAUUUAAAUAUCAUAUUCUUCAGUCUUUCUUUCUACAUUUAUUCAGUGCCCUGAGUGUGCCAGACACUGGUGUCCACAGAGAUACAACUUUUCAUGUAAUUUUGGAAUUUGUUAUAACGAUGACUCAGUGAGAUUUACUUUUUACUCUUCUAGAAGGCUUUCAGUAUAAAUAAACACCAGUCGGAAGGGAGUCUUUUGUCAGACCAGACGACCCGAGCAGGGGUUGAGAAAACACGGGCAUCUCAACAAUGGCGCCCUGUUAGAGGUGGAAAGGGAGGAGAGGCCCAGAGAGGGGGAAAAACAGGUUUAGACCUGGGUAACCCGAGGAGGGUGCGCCUUCAACCAGGAAGAAGUGUGCCUCUUAAGCACUUCAGGCCGCGCUGUAACCAAGGGUAAUAGCGCUUCAGCUCACGGCAGUGUGAAAACCACCUUCUUCCCUAACCAGAUAGAUCUACGGAGCCUGACUAGGACUAGACAGAAGCCAAGAUUCUCCAUCCAAGAUUCCUUCCCAAGCUCUGCCCCUGACUACUUAAAUGUCACUGAUCUUGCCCCUAGUUUAUUGAUGCGGGGCGGGGGAGAGAAGAAGCGGUGGGAGAAUCACCUUUCCUAUUUUGCGAUUGGUAGUAUUAGGCUCUAAGUCCCGCCUCCCACGCUGCCGCCAACAGGCUCUCAGAGUUGUCACUCGAUUCACUGCAUCCGCCCCUCGCCGUGGCCCCGCCCCACUCUGUGGCUGGGAUCUCGCGGGAAGAGCGGCGGGUACGGCUGUAGCUCUGUCUCCAAGCUGCGCGCGGAGCGGGAGGGAUCUCCUCACACAAGCGCUUCCUCGCCGAGGGGUUGGAGCUGCGGCAGACGCAGGCCUGGGCCGCCCCUUCUCUGCCGCCUCCUUCUCUUCCUCAGGGUUCCCCGGUCCGCUUGCCCUACGACGCUGCCCAGGCAGCUUCCCUGGUGGUCCAGUGGUUAAGAAGCCACCUGCCAAUGCAAGGGACAUAGGUUCCAUCCCGGAAGACCUGCAACCAAGCCCAUGCGCCACAACUGCUGAGACCACUCUCCUAGAGCCUGUGCUGUGCAACAAGAGAAGCCAAUGCGAUGGGAAGCCCUCGCACCACAGUGAAGACUAGCCCCUGCUCACCGUGACUAGAGAAAGCACAUGUACAGCAGUGAAGACCCAGUGCAGCCAUAAAUAGAUAAAUUUAAAAAUUAAAGGGAAAAAAACAGGGAAUUCUAUAUAGCAAUAUAUAACUCUGAAAAGUUUAAGUGUUUUGGGGUUUUGUUUUAGUUUAGUUUUUGUUUUGGUUGUAAAUUAAAUCAAAAUGCCUGUUUGACUUUUGUAACUAUCAAAACUGAUCAGUUGAGCAGAUGCUUGAUAGGAAUCACAACCAAAAAAACCCUAAGCAGACCUUUGUUUCCCCAUUAUUUUUGAAAGCCAAUGAUAAAUUAAGUGGAUUUCAGUAACUUUUUAAAAAGGCUGCUUUCAUAAUUUCUAAGUAAACAUACUGAUCAACAAGUAUUUGAUUAUCUGCUAGGUGUCACAGCGUGGUGUGUACCUCCAUGUACAGUGAUUUACAGCUCUCAUAAACCUGUAUCAAGAGAAAGAGACAACAAAUACAUAAAAUAAUUGAGAUGCUGUUAAGAGAGAAAUAGGAUAGUUUUGGGGUUCAGCUCACUUAAAAAACGUUAACCCCCGAUAAUAUAACUGCUAUUAGCAUCCUCUGUUAUAUAAGCAUACAAUCUGUAAGGAUAAACAUCAAACUUAAAAGUGUUUGGGGAAUUCUUUAGGAGAGAGUUGCAAAGACAUGGAAAGGAGUUAUUAAUUAUAUGUGCUGUGCUGUGCUGUACUUAGUCACUCAGUCUUGUCCGACUCUUUGGGACACCAUGGACCAUAGUCCACCAGGCUCCUCCAUCCAUGGGAUUCUCCAGGCAAGAAUACUAGAGUGGGUGGGUUGCCAUGCCCUCCUCCAGGGAAUCUUCCCAACCCAGAGAUCAAACCCAGGUCUCCUAAAUUGCAGGCGGAUUCUUUACUGGAAUUAUGUGCUUUUAUACUAUUUGAAUUUAUUUCAAUGAGCAGACAUUACUUAGGUGUUAAUUAGAGAAGUCUGGAAAUUAAAACAUUUUGGUCACCGUGCAGAUUUGUGAAAUGUCGCACAGGCUUUUUGUCAGUGUUGCCACUUCUGUGUGUACUAGUGAAGGAAAAAUGUAUUUCAGUUAUCUAAAAUUAUAGGAAUGGGAUGGGGAGGGGAACACAACAGAAUAAGAAAAAAGA